ACUAACCAUAGUUUUGGAUUGUAGGAUAACUAGGAUAGAUUUGGAUUGUAUGCUAGAGUCAAAAUGCGCUGAAAAAGAAGAACUGCCUAAAAGCACAUUUUGGCCCAUGAUAACCCACAUAAACCCAUAAAAACUUGAAUAAUCGUUAACAUUAUUUUGCAUAUAUUUUUCGGCAUUUGCUGGCUUAAACAGUCAUAAACCAACCUCAUGAAAUAAAUAUUUAUUUCGCAAAACAUAUAACAGCAGAAAAUACAGCAAAAAGUAUAUGAACAUAUUUCAGCCCAAAGCCCAUCAACAGCACGUUAGACAUCACCCCAUCCGUGGGCCAAGUUAAGCAGGGCCCAUUUUCUCCUCCCCCUCCCCGAUUUUCUCGGACCACAGAGAGACCGCGCCGACGCGCAGCGCCGCAUGUCCCGGCGUCCAUGGCGGCUCGCCGUAGCAGCCCGCAGCGGAGGGGUCCAGCGCGCUGCUCCGUCGAUCUUGGCCACCCGUGCCGCUCUCAUGGCGUUAGCGGCGGGAGGGAGGACGCCGGUGCCGCGGCGACUUGAGGAUGGCGAACGGGGCGAGGCUGCGGCCACCGCGUCGUCUUCUUGAGGUGCGGCAACAGCUGGAGCUUGUGGCUACUCCACCCACGGUGACGGCCGCGUGCGGCGGCCCGAUGCGCUUGGGCUUCCGGAUGGCUGAUGUAUACUCCUGCAAUAAAGCUUUUGGGGUAUGAUUCGAGCCACUCGUGCUUCAGCCAAUCAUCCAUCAUACAGCUGGCAAGUGAAAUAAGUCUCUAUUAUUUCAACAGUUGGCUGCUAUCGGAAAGAAACCGUAAACUUGGCAACAUAUGGACUUCAGCGGUGCAGACAGACGGAGAAGUCUUCAUUUUUUCAAAAGAAACUGACAUCUGACGAUAACAGUAAUGAGAAUUCAAACGUUGAACAUUGAAACCUGGAAAAUAACAGUUGUUGGUUCAUGCAUUUGCAGCACAUGAUUCACAGGAAUAAUUAGCAUCAGACUGGAGAUUUCCUUACUAGUA